rnacentral:rRNA from 1 species
UACGUAGGCAGCGAGCGUUGUUCGGAGUUACUGGGCGUAAAGAGUGCGUAGGCGGUUUUCUAAGUUUGGUGUGAAAUCCCUCGGCUUAACCGGGGAACUGCGUCUGAUACUGGAUGGCUUGAGUUUGGGAGAGGGAUGCGGAAUUCCAGGUGUAGCGGUGAAAUGCGUAGAUAUCUGGAGGAACAUCAGUGGCGAAAGCGGCUUCCUGGACCAAUACUGACGCUCAUGUGCGAAAGCGUGGGGAGCAAACAGG